UACAGAGGUGGCAAGCGUUGUUCGGAAUUACUGGGCGUAAAGGGCGCGUAGGCGGCGCAACAAGUCACUUGUGAAAUCUCCGGGCUUAACCCGGAGCGGUCAAGUGAUACUGUCGUGCUAGAGUGCGGAAGGGGCUACUGGAAUUCUCGGUGUAGCGGUGAAAUGCGUAGAAUAUCGAGAGGGAACACCUGCGGCGAAGGCCGGGUAGCUGGGCCGACACUGACGCUGAGGAGCGAAAGCGUGGGAGCGAACAGG
rnacentral:rRNA from 1 species